rnacentral:rRNA from 1 species
UACGGAGGGUGCAAGCGUUAAUCGGAAUUACUGGGCGUAAAGCGUGCGUAGGUGGUUUGUUAAGUCUGUUGUGAAAGCCCCGGGCUCAACCUGGGAAUGGCAAUGGAUACUGGCAAGCUAGAGUGCGGUAGAGGGUAGUGGAAUUCCCGGUGUAGCGGUGAAAUGCGCAGAUAUCAGGAGGAACACCGGGUGGCGAAGGCGGGUCUCUGGGCCGUAACUGACGCUGAGGAGCGAAAGCAUGGGGGAGCGAACAGG